rnacentral:lncRNA from 1 species
UUCCGUAUGUUUAACCAAGCACUACUAGCACGACAAGCUUGGCGUUUGAUCACUAGGCCGAAAAGUCUAUGCGCACAAGUACUCAAAGCCCGGUACUACGCCGAGCGAAAGCUCGAAGAUAAAGUGUUUACCGAACAAAAAGGAUCUCUCUCUGGCUUAGCAGAGAAUGUACAUCAUGCCACAUAAUAAACUCCGAAAACCUGGAGAUGCCUGACAAUAAUAACUCUUGACUUAUUAAAAGGGGUGCAGGACAUCAAAUUAGAUAGUGACACGACCUCCAUCCUUGUUGAAAAGAACGAGGAUGUUGUGCCCUAUCCAAAGUUCAUUUGCAAGUGCAAACUCUUCCCAUCCGUAGUUCCGGACCUGAACCCAAUCCUGCCAUCAGCGCAUAUGAAGUAUUUUGCUUCUCUGUUCUUGUCCUGUUUUGUCCAUCACAAAGUAGCGCCUCUCCAGUAGCGGUGAUGUCUAGCGCGCCUUUGGAAUGCACUGGAGUUUGAAAGAAAACCAAACAUGAUAAAAUGAAUAAAUAAGAGAAACAAAUAAAACUGAGGUACUGAGAAACUCAGAAAAUAUGGAUAAAACUGGAAAACUAAAGAAGAAUGGAUGCACAAAAAUGAGGAAUAACACUUAGAAACCCAAAAGAAUCUGAUAAAACUGAAGAACUAAGGAAGACUGAAUAAAUAAGAUCAACAGAUUUAACUGUGGGACACUGAAUAACUAAGAAGAAACUAAGGAACUAAGGAAGACUGAAUAAAUAAGAUUAACAUAUUUAACUGAGGGACAUUGAAUAACUAAGAAGAAACCAAGGAACAAAACUGAAUAAUGAAGAAACUAAAAUAGAGGGAAUAGAAAUGUUUAAACUCGGGAACAGAGAAGACUGAUAAGAGAGAACAAGAACUAAGAGAGAGGACUGUUAGAAAAUCCUUGCUACUCCAUCACUUGACGUGCUGCUUUGUUCCCUGUACUCAACGUUGGAUGAGCCGCAAUCAGACUCAUAUACUCCUCCUGCUGAUACGAGCUCUGUGAACAUGAAAUUAAAGGCUGUGAAAAAGGAUGUAUGAAAGGAUUACAUAGAUGGAGGUGUAGCCAGAGGCGCUGUUGCAAGCUGAUGACAUACAUGACAACACCACGGCAUUUUAUGUGGACUCUACUGGCCACACGAAUGAUUAAGAACAUGGCCUAUUACAAAAUGUAUAUGGAAUAACCUGCAUGGAAAUAUGGGCAUGUACAAAACAAAAAUGAUGUUUUGGUUCUGCGUCGGCUAUUAGCAGACUAUUGAUACUGUAAUAGUAGCAGAGGAAGGAUUCGUCCAGUGGCUCUGGUGGCUGUACAGAAACCUCCAUAAUAAUCAGUGGAUCCUCAAAACUGUAAACAAACACAAGGGCUGUCUCUUCAUUUGAUCAAAGAGGAAACAAGGCAAAUAUUGCAGUUCGAAUUAGCAGGAACAAACACAUGCAGUUAACAUAUGAAAAUAUGGUUUCCUUUGCAAGCAGACAAUUAUCACAUCAGCAUACAGUUUAGAUGCCUGGACAUAUCCAGGAUCCAAUUGAACAGAGCCAUCUAUCAUCCUAGACAGUAGCAUUUGGUGGCUUUUACAUGUUUCUGCUUGACGGUACAUCACACAGAAAAUAAUGCUCAUUGAAUCAACAAAAAUCACAAGUAAUCAGAAGGAUUGUCCGCCUCAUAGAAGGGAAAACAACUGUUGUCUGAAGCAGAACAUAUCAGGAAAAGUACUCUCUCCGUCCCAUAAUAUAAGACCUUUUUUGACACUAUCAUGAUAUCAAAAAGGGUCUUAUAUUAUGGGACGGAGGAGUAGCAUAUAUGUAGUUCUGUUAUUCUCUAGAAAUAGGCAUUUUUUUCCAACUGGGGUAACCCCUUUCCCAUUAAUUUCUCAACGGAAAUAACAUUGUUGAUUACACCAACUAGAUCAGGUAAAGGAAGCGGGAAGAAGGGAAGAGCGAGUUCGGGCAUAUAGAGGGAAACUUGCCGCGGAUGCUUGGCCUCAAAGCAUCUGCUAGGGGGGAAAAAACCUUCAACACCAUAAAAGUCAUGGAAAUAGACAUAUAUACAUCUUCUGACUUAUAUUCAGUGGGUUUUCCUAGCCCAUAAGGAUUGUUCCCGUUUGGAGUGUGGGUGGAUCACAUAAAAAAGCAAGAUGUCAUAAAGAUUUUUUUAUGAGCAGUAGACCCCACAUGUCAUAGACAUAAAAACUGUGGCAAGAUUCCCUAAGGCAAGCCAAAGUUUGGCUAAGAAUUUGAACAACUCAAGUAAGGCAAGUGUGGCAAAAAUAAUAUGGCAAUGCAUGGCAAAGAUAGUCACGAGGGCACUGGAGCAGCUCAUGGAAGGGAAGAAGAGCGCGACAGAGCUGCGAGCUCGAGCAGUUCGGCUGGUGACCAUGGCAAGCCUGGAAAGGACCGUGGCAAGCAUAAGAAAAAGGGCAAGUUUGACAUCACCAAGGUGAGAUGUUACAACUGCAAUGAGAAGGGUCAUUUUCAGUCAGAUUGUCCUGAGCCGAAGCAUGAGAAGGCAAAUCUCGCCGAGAAAGAAGAUGAUGACCCAACACUCCUCAUGACGGAGAGGUGCGAACUGGUGUUGUCUGAUUCAGUUGCAGAGGAACAGGGUAUUCCUCAAUGAAGAGAAGGUGGUACCGAAGCUCACAGGCAAGCAGGAGAUGUCCUGGUACCUUGACACCGGGGCAAGUAAUCACAUGACCAGCAGAGCUGAGAAAUUUGCUGAACUUGAUCGGUCUGUGACAGGAAGGACCCCAUUCAGAGAUGGUUCUGCAGUUGAGAUUUGUGGAUGUGGAUCAGUACUGUUGCAGUGUCACACUGGAGAACAUCGAGUACUGUCAAAUGUGUAUUUCAUACCUCGGCUUAAAAAUAACAUAAUAAGCCUAGGUCAGCUUGAUGAGAAUGGAUGCAAAUACUCAGCUGAAGAUGGUGUGAUGACAGUGUUAGAUCGUCAGAGAAAUGUCUUGGCAAGAGUGUGGAGGACCAAGAACAAAAUGUACAUUCUGAAUAUUCAGCAGACUGAACCCAUUUGCUUGAUGGUGCAUGCAAAGGAAUCAUCGUGGCUGUGGCACAUGAGGUAUGUUGUAGAAUCAGGGGAGAGAGGGGUGGCGGCUGGGAUAGAAAGAUGGCCUGGUAUUGUAUUCUAUUGGAGUUAGGGUUUCCUGUACAAGGGGGCAGCACAUAUAUAGGCUGCAGGGUUACAUGGGCCACAUGGGCCACAUGGGCCACAUGGGCCAUAAGCGCGCGCGCACACACACACACACUGAAAUACAGAUAAGACACAGCCCAACACUCCCCCUCAAGAGGGAUGAUAGAUAUCUAUCAUGCCCAUCUUGUCACAAGCAAGAUUGUUCUCCCUGGUUCCCAAACCUUUUGUCAAACAAUCGGCGACUUGUUGUCCAGAGCUCACAUGAGUUAUCUUGAUGAUUCCUGCAUCCAGUUUCUCUUUGAUAAAGAAUCUGUCUAUCUCCACAUGUUUUGUUCUGUCAUGUUGCACUGGAUUUUUAGCAAUGCUGAUUGCAGAUUUGUUGUCACACCACACAUUCAGAGGAUCUUGUCUGAGCACUUUCAGCUCAAGCAGAAGGCCUCUUACCCAUAACAUCUCACUCAGCCCUUGAGACAUUGCCCUAUACUCAGCUUCUGCAGUUGAUUUUGACACCACCGGUUGUUUUUUGCUUCUCCAUGAUACCAAAUUUCCACCAACAAACACACAAUAGCCAGAGGUUGAUCGUCUAUCAUCAAGACAGCUAGCCCAAUCAGCAUCGCUAUAACCGUCAACAUUCAAAUGGCCAUUACUCUUGAACCAGAGUCCCAUACCAGGGCUGCCCUUUAGAUACCUCAUGAUUCUAUAGACUGCAUCAAGGUGUCCACUUCUGGGGUCAUGCAUAUAUCUACUUACUACACUUACUGCAUAUGUAAUAUCUGGUCUAGUGUGACACAAGUACAGAAGUUUGCCAACCAAUUGUUGAUAUUUUGCUUUGUUAACUUGUUCACCCAUCUGUGCUGUCAAUUUGUGAUUUUGUUCAAUGGGAGUUGGGGCUGCUCUACAUCCAAGCAUUCCCAUAUCACUUAGGAGCUCUAAGGUAUACUUCCGCUGAGACAGGGCUAUUCCCCUCUUUGAUCUUGCAACUUCGAUACCCAGGAAAUAUUUUAGCUGACCAAGAUCCUUAACUUCAAAUGCUUUGCCUAGGCAUUUCUUUAGUCUUCCAAUCUCCUCUUCAUUGUCUCCCGUUAUUAUGAUGUCAUCCACAUAUACUGCAAGAAUAGUAAUCUGUUGCUUGGAAUGUUUAUAGAAAACAGUUUGAUCUCCAUUGCAUUGUUUAUACUCCAUACUGCAAACUGCUUGCCUGAACCGGUCAAACCAAGCCCUUGGCGAUUACUUCAAACCAUAGAGAGAUUUUCUGAAUCUACAAACCUUCCCAACAGUCCCAGGUGUAGAAAGUCCAGGAGGAAUUUCCAUGUAGACUUCCUCUUGUAGAUCUCCAUGUAAAAAGGCAUUUUUUACAUCAAGUUGGUGUAGUGGCCAUCCAAAGUUAGCUGCACAUGAGAUUAGAAUCCUCACUGUAUUCAUCUUUGCAACUGGGGCGAAUGUUUCGUCAUAAUCAAUACCAUACGUUUGGCUGUACCCUCUGGCUACCAGUCUUGCCUUGUAACGCUCAACCUUACCCUCAGGAUUCUGCUUCACUGUGAAGAUCCACUUACAACUGACUGCCUUCUUCCCAUAUGGAAGAUUUGCUAGCUCCCAUGUUUUGUUCUUUCUCAGGGCCUCCAACUCUUCCCUCAUGGCGUCACACCACUUUGGAUCUUGUCUUGCUUCUUUCCAGUCUUUAGGAACAAUCACGGCUUGAAGUGAUGCGACAAAUGCUCUAAAUGAAGGUGAUAGGGCUUCAUAGGUGACAUAAUUACUGAUGUCAUGCUCAAGAUUGCCCUUGCUCAAAGUUUUCCUUGCUACUUCCUUCUUGAGAGCAAUUGGCAGGUUAGGUGAUGCUUCUUCAGUACUUGAAUUUUCAUAUGACUCCACUUCAGAUGAGCUUCCUGUCGCUUGAGUUUCUUCUGACUGCUCCCCCUGUUCCAUAGUUUCUUUUGACUGCUCCUCAUGCACUUGUUCCUCCACACCUCUCUUCCUUCUUGUAUACACAUGAGGAUUCCUUUCCUCAUUUGGUCUCUGCCACCUCUGCUGUUCAGCCCCAUCAACUACAACUGGAAUGAAGGAUCCCACUAUUUUCGGGGUUGGUAUUGGCUGCUCCUUGUCGCCAUUGGUGCUGCACUCACCACUCAAGUUGCACUCCCCCUCUUGACCACCCUGCAUAGAUUGUGAGUGGUCAAGUUCUUCGAAUAAAGUGCUGAGAUCUGUCUUCUCACCAUAGAAAGGCUCAGAUUCUCGAAAGGUGACAUCCAUACUUACAAAUGUGCGCCUUUCAGCAGGACUCCAACACUUAUAGCCUCGCUGCCCUGCAGGAUAUCCAACAAAUAUGCAUUUUACAGCUCGUGGAUCCAGCUUUCCCACUGCUGGUCUGUGAUCUCUAACGAAGCAGGUGCACCCAAAUAACUUCGGAAGAACUGAGAAUUUGUUCUCCCCAAAUAGCAUCUCACAUGGGGACUUCAUACCAAGCAUUUUUGAAGGCAUCCGGUUGAUCAGGAACGUUGCAGUCAUGACAGCUUCACUCCACAAGAAUUUUGGCACAUUCAUGGUGAACAUAAGUGAUCGAGCCACUUCUAAAAUGUGUCGGUUUUUCCUUUCUGCAACACCAUUCUGAGCAGGGGUAUCUGGACAUGAUGUUUGGUGCAUUAUGCCUUGUGCUGACAGGAAACCUCCAAAUUGCUUGUUUACAUAUUCAGUUCCAUUGUCAGAUCUGAUCACCUGCACCUGCACAUUGAAUUGGUUUCGCACAUAGGCAUAAAACUCCUGAAAACAUUGGAAUACCUCAUCUUUAUGUCGCAUGAGGUACACCCAAGUCAUGCGAGUGUGGCAGUCUAUAAAUGUCACAAAAUAUUUCAUUCCACUAACAGAAACAACAGGGCAUGUCCACACAUCAGAGUGAAUCAGCAUAAACGGGGAUAUACUCCUUAGCCCCUUACUCAAAUAUGAGAUUCUUGUGUGCUUUGCAUAUUCACAUGCAUCACACACAAGCUUACUCUUGUCUACUCCACGCAUUACAUCAGGAAACAUCUUACUCAUCUUAUCAAAAGCCAUAUGCCCCAUGCGACAGUGAUGGAUCAUCGCCAUUGUCUCACUUACUCCAACUAGUACAGCCAAAAUAGGACUAGCACCAGACCUAGACACAUCACGAUCCAUAUACCACAAUCCACUACGCCUGGUUCCUUCCCAAGUUUCCUUCCAGUCAUCCUCUCCUGAAUUAAACAUAUUUUCUUAUCAAGAGUUAUUCGGCAAUCUAUCUGAUCAAUCAAAGCACUUAGAGAAAGCAAGUUCACAGGAAAAGCUGGAACAUGUAAUACAUCAGAUAAUUUAAUAGUGGGUGUACAUUGAACUGAUCCAACUCCUUUAAUCGGUUGUGAGGUGCCAUCAGCAGUUUGUAUUGUUUCACAAUGUGUAAUUGGGUACUGAGUAUAUGAUUCAAACUCAGUUGAGGUACCUGCAACAUGCUUGGAUGCUCCAGAAUCUAAUAUCCAAUCUGGAAGGAAAUCAUGUGUGGAUAUAGAUGCAUUUGCAAAGUUACCUUCCCCUGUGUAGACAAAGUGGGCAAAGUUCCCAAAGGUGUUGUCCUCCUGGCUUCUACUCUUCGACUCCCCUUGAGAGGUUGUUGACGUCCCUUCUUCUUGCGUUGCCAAGUUAGCCAAGUUUGCUUUGAAGCCACUGGAAUAAUUCGAACCCCUCGAGUUACCUCUGCCUCUAACUCCCCGGUAUCCACCUCGGCUGUAACCUCUUCCCCUACCACGUAUUUCUCUGCGUUGUGCUGUGCAAUUGAUGCUUAUGUGACCUUUCUCUCCACAGUUGAAGCACUCUCUUGUCUCCUUCCAUUCAGACACAGUAAAUGCUGAGCGAGAUGCAUUCGCUUCUCCAGUCCUGGUCAACUUCAACCUGACCUCCUCCUGUGCCAUUGCUGCAACUGCCUCCUCAAGCGAGGGGAGCUUUGGCUGAUGAAACAACCCAGCACGCCUUCCUUCAAAUUCUGAGCUAAGUCCCUUCAAGAAUUUCAUCACUCUCCUACGCUCUACCCACUUCUUAGUAGCAACUAUACAUUCUGAAUGUGGUAACUCCAGUGGAUCAUAGUGGUCUAAGUCAGCCCACAAAUGCUGCAAUUCUGCUACAUACUCCAUCACCGACUUAUCCCCUUGUUUUAGCUCAUUUACUCUAUCCUCAAUCUGCGCCAUAAGCAUUAUGUUCCCUUUCCCGGAGUACAAUGUUUCCAGGGUUUUCCAUACCUCUGCUGCAUGGGGAAGAGUCUCCACAGGUGCUGCAAUGGAUGGGGUCAAGGAGUUCAGCAGCCAUGCCACCACCAGAGAGUCAAUGACACUCCACUUCUUCCACUCUUCACUUGCCCUGUUCGCCGGUUCAUCUACUUCCCCUCUGACAUAGCCUUCUAGCCCCUUUGUCCUCAAUAUUAGCAAUGCCCUUCUGGACCAGCUUAGGUAGUUUGUGACCAGCUUAGGUAGUUUGUGACCCCUUCCAUCUUGAUUUCAUUUGGCAUCAGUUCUAUUUUCUGUAUCACCUCAGGCUGAGGAACAAGCGCACCUGGGGAAGCCACACCCUCUGCCUUGACAGUGAUGAGCUCAGCUAGCUUCUCCAACGCCUUUACCAACCCCUGGUUGUCCCCCAUCUUUCCAAUCUUGAAUCACACCACUAGCAACCUCCAGCAACCACUGCUCCCCACUUUCACCUCUCUACUACCUCCUCCCCUCAGAUCUGGGAUUCCACCUCUCCUUCUUCCACACAAGCCUUCUCCUCUCAGACAAUCGCCAGCAAGCACAACCAGCCAACCACCAUCACCACUGCUGGGAUUGGGAACCCAAGCUCUGACACCAUGUAGAAUCAGGGGAGAGGGGGGUGGCGGCUGGGAUAGAAAGAUGGCCUGGUAUUGUAUUCUAUUGGAGUUAGGGUUUCCUGUACAAGGGGGCAGCACAUAUAUAGGCUGCAGGGUUACAUGGGCCACAUGGGCCACAUGGGCCAUAAGCGCGCGCACACACACACACACACACACUGAAAUACAGAUAAGACACAGCCCAACAUAUGUUCACGUGAAUUUCCGUUCACUUCGUUCUCUAGCAGUAGAAGGCAUGGUCGAAGGAAUGCCAAUCCUGGAGCAAGUGGAGCAGGUGUGUGACGGCUGCAUGAUAGCAAAGCAGCACCGCCUCCCAUUUCCCUCUCAGACAAGCUACCGUGCUUCACAGCAGCCGCAACUGAUUUAUGGUGACUUGUGUGGUCCCAUCCACCUGAGACACCGGGAGGCAAGCACUACUUUCUCCUGGUUGUGACGAUUACUCCCGGUACAUGUGCCUGGCUCUCCUCAUCACUAAGGAUGAGGCACUUGAGGCAUUCAGAAAAAUUCAGAAACUUGCAGAAGCAGAGCGGGAUCUAAAACUGAAAGCCAUCAGAAUGGAUCGUGGAGGUGAAUUCACCUCAAAGGGGUUCUUCACUUGCCCCCCCUCCCCCCUCGGGCUCUCGCGACCGCGUCGCCCCCGCGGGCAACCGGCCGCGCCCCGGCUCCUCCUCCGCCAGCUCCCCCUCUUUUCCCCCUCCCCGCCGCCGUCGCCGGCGUUUGCCGCCGAGCAUGGCCCGGGCGACGCUGGUGGCGGCGCCCCCCGGCCAUUCCCCUCUCGGUUGCUCUCCGACNNNNNNNNNNNNNNNNNNNNNNNNNNNNNNNNNNNNNNNNNNNNNNNNNNNNNNNNNNNNNNNNNNNNNNNNNNNNNNNNNNNNNNNNNNNNNNNNNNNNNNNNNNNNNNNNNNNNNNNNNNNNNNNNNNNNNNNNNNNNNNNNNNNNNNNNNNNNNNNNNNNNNNNNNNNNNNNNNNNNNNNNNNNNNNNNNNNNNNNNNNNNNNNNNNNNNNNNNNNNNNNNNNNNNNNNNNNNNNNNNNNNNNNNNNNNNNNNNNNNNNNNNNNNNNNNNNNNNNNNNNNNNNNNNNNNNNNNNNNNNNNNNNNNNNNNNNNNNCGCGGGAGAUCGGCUGGACGGCGGCGUCGCCGUUGGCGGCGGGGUGGCGCGGCGGCGCCUGCUUGGCCCAGAUAUGGGCCCUUCGGGCCCCAUCUGGGUCUGGGCGGGCCGACGGCGGGGCGGGUCGACGGCGUGGCUCCCAGGAGGCGGGGGAGCGGCGAUGGGCGUUGGGGUGCUGGCGGUGCUGGCGCUGCCCUGCUGCAGCGUGGCCGGCGGGGCUUAGCGGGCCCGAUUCGGGCCUGGCCGGGCCAGGGUGGCCUGACAUGCCCUGCUGCUGCGUCCGGACGGCGACCGUGACGGUGCCGGAGGCUCAAGCCUCCUGCACAACGGCGGAGGAGGUGGUUCCCUCCCGCGCGGCUACGGCGCUGCUGCUCCCAUCGUCCAACGCCGCCUCCUCGUUCUCUUGGCCUCGUGGUGGCGAUCUCGGUGAGGCGGCGUGGGUGGCGUUGCAACCGCGGUGGCGCAUGCUGGUGGGCGGUGGGCGGCGAGCUGGUUGGUUGGCUUCGAUCCGGUUGGGCGGUGGGGUUUGGAGUUGGGAGAAAUCCUUGCCGGAUCUUCCGGCUCCGGUGCGGUGACGCCUGCGGGUGCCACCAUUCCUCCCUGGAGGGUGUCGGUGGUCUUCAUUCCCCUCUUCCCUCCGUGUGCCGGGGGAAACCCUAGGAUACGUCUGGGCAGCAGCGUCGUCGGCGUCGUUUCCUUCCUGGAGGUGCUGCUUGGUACACGGAGGAUCGGAGCCUAGGAUCGUGGUGGGUAGAUUUCCGGAGGGCGCAGCGGUUGUAGGUCAUUCGCGUCUGUCGAGCUGCCGGUGCUGGCAUUGUUUCUUUUUCUUUUUCUUUGGCUUAUUGUGCUGCUCGCCCCAGCGUUUGCUCUGUAAUCGGUGUUGGUGCUUUGGAAUACAAAGCGGGGGGAAACCCUUUUUCGGUAAUUCACCUCAAAGGCAUUCACUAGUUACUAUGAGGAUCAUGGAAUUGAGCACUUUCUCACAGCUCCAUACACGCCUCAACAGAAUGGGGUAGUAGAGAGGAGAAAUCAAACUGUCGUCGGCAUGGCUAGGAGCUUGCUGAAGACAAUGGGGAUGCCAGCAAAAUUCUGGGGUGAGGCGGUGACCACAGCUGUGUAUCUUCUGAACCGGUCUCCAACAAAGAGUGUAAAAGGGAGAACGCCGUAUGAAGCAUGGCAUGAGAGGAAGCCCUCUGUCUACCAUCUGCGUAUGUUUGGCUGUGUUGCACAUGUGAAACGAGUUGGGCCUGUCAGACGAAACUUUCUGACAGGAGUACACAAAUGGUGUUUAUUGGGUAUGAACAAGGCUCAAAGGCAUAUCGCUUCUAUGAUCAAGAGACAAAGAAGUUAGUGGUAUCUCAGGAUGCAGUGUUUGAGGAGGACCGAUAAUGGGAUUGGCAGCCUACCCUCUGACAGAGAACAACCCAGUACACUCGCUCACUGUUCACUAUCCAGUUUGUGUCUCGACAAAAGAAAGCGGCAUAAACGCUGCAGCAGCAGAAAAACAUAGGAAAGACCCUGCUGCAACGGCAGAGCCAGUGACCCCCGCCGCAACAGCAAAAGGGCAAGAUUCUACUGCCACAGUAGCAGCACCUCUACCGGCAGGAAAGACACGCAAUGCUGGCAAUGGGGCUGCACUCCCACUAGAUCUGUCUGCACCGUCACCUGUCUCUGCACUCCAAGCGACACCGUGCUCGUCGCGCUCGCAAGGGAGCCCAUGGUCUGAGCCAUCACAGGGGCCUCAAGGAAAUCGUCCUCUUGGUGAAAUUUAUGAGGAAACAGCAGAGGUCGAUGCAGCUUACUCUGGAUUGUGUCUUUUUGGCAUGGAAGAGCCAACAAAUCAUACUGAAGCUAUGAAAGAAGAGUGUUGGCAAGGUGCUAUGAGGGCAGAGUUGAGCUCUAUUGAAGCUAAUGGUACAUGGAAGUUGUGUGAUCUUCCGAAGGGUCACAAACCUAUUGGUCUUAAAUGGGUGUAUAAACUGAAAAAAGACCCAUCUGGUGUUGUGGUCAAGCACAAGGCCAGAUUAGUUGAGAAUGGAUUUGUCCUGUUGCUAGACUUGAAUCGGAAAGACUGCUUGUUGCUAUUGCUGCACAAAGAGGAUGGGAAAUGCACCACAUGGAUGUUAAGUCUGCAUUUUUGAAUGGGAAUUUAGCUGACGAGGUGUAUGUGAGCCAACCUCCAGGGUAUGAAAUUCCAGGACAGG